GACAAAUUUGCUUUGAACCUAGGAGCCAGCUAAAAAAAGUUAGAUUUUAAAAUACAAUUCUUAAAUGGACACUCUAGUCACCAGGAUAAUUACAGCUUAAUGUAGUGGUUCUGGUGUCUAUAGCCUGUCCCUUCAGACUUUUCAAAGUAAACACUUCCUUUUCAGAUGUCUCUGCUCUGCUCCCCCAUACGCCGCUUAGUGAGACCGGGGCCGGAAUAUGAUGUCAUAUUCCAGCCCCGUUGUCAUUAAUCGGAGCGUGGGGAGCAGAGCAGGGACAUCACAGCUCCCUCACUGUCCUCCUUUUCUUAGAGCUAGCCGCCGGCCUCCAUGACCACCCAGCAUCCCGCCCGCCUCUACGACCACUCAGCAUGCUGCACGCCUCCAUAAUCCCCCAGCUUACCGACCGUCUGCUUUGGAGGUAAAGGGCUCACAUAUCCCAGGCGUCAAGGCAAAAUUCCUAGGCGCCAUGGCGACCUGGCACCUGGGAUUUGUCACGCCUGAGAUACACACACACUGACACAUACAGACAAUGAAAGACAUACACACUGACAGACAUACAGAUACACACACACUGACAAACAUACAGAUACACACACACACUGAUAUACAAGUCACAAUUCUAGCCACCCUUCAGAUUCUUACCUUGUAGGUGCUGGAGGGUGGCUUCCAUGGCUGGGGCUGAUGGGUGUAAGGGUUUGCUGCUCCUCCCCCUCCCUCUUGUGUGGCAUGUUCUCUUUGAGCUGGGAGGAAGUGCACGCUUCACUUACUUCCUCCCAGCUCUCUAGGCAAG